ACAGGGAUUGCCCUAGUAACGGCGAGUGAAGCGGCAACAGCUCAAAUUUGAAAUCUGGCCCUCGGGUCCGAAUUGUAAUUUGUAGAGGAUGCUUUUGGUACGGUACUUUCCGAGUUUCCUGGAACGGGACGCCUUAGAGGGUGAGAGCCCCGUACGGUUGGAUACCAAACCUUUGUAUAGCUCCUUCGACGAGUCGAGUAGUUUGGGAAUGCUGCUCUAAAUGGGAGGUAAAUUUCUUCUAAAGCUAAAUACCGGCCAGAGACCGAUAGCGCACAAGUAGAGUGAUCGAAAGAUGAAAAGCACUUUGAAAAGAGGGUUAAAUAGCACGUGAAAUUGUUGAAAGGGAAGCGUUUAUGACCAGACUUUUUCCAAGCGGAUCAUCCGGUGUUCUCACCGGUGCACUUCGCUUGGUCGAGGCCAGCAUCGGUUUCUGUAGGGGGAUAAAAGCUCUGGGAAUGUGGCUCCUUCGGGAGUGUUAUAGCCCUCUGCAUAAUACCUUUACGGGGACCGAGGACCGCGCUUUUGCAAGGAUGCUGGCAUAAUGGUCGUCAACGA
rnacentral:rRNA from 1 species